GAUGAACGCUGGCGGCGUGCCUAAUACAUGCAAGUCGAGCGAACGGACGAGAAGCUUGCUUCUCUGAUGUUAGCGGCGGACGGGUGAGUAACACGUGGAUAACCUACCUAUAAGACUGGGAUAACUUCGGGAAACCGGAGCUAAUACCGGAUAAUAUUUUGAACCGCAUGGUUCAAAAGUGAAAGACGGUCUUGCUGUCACUUAUAGAUGGAUCCGCGCUGCAUUAGCUAGUUGGUAAGGUAACGGCUUACCAAGGCAACGAUGCAUAGCCGACCUGAGAGGGUGAUCGGCCACACUGGAACUGAGACACGGUCCAGACUCCUACGGGAGGCAGCAGUAGGGAAUCUUCCGCAAAGGGCGAAAGCCUGACGGAGCGACGCCGCGUGAAUGAUGAAGGUCUUCGGAUCGUAAAACUCUGUUAUUAGGGAAGAACAUAUGUGUAAGUAACUGUGCACAUCUUGACGGUACCUAAUCAGAAAGCCACGGCUAACUACGUG
rnacentral:rRNA from 1 species